GUAUUAUAAACACAAGGAUGCAAUUAAAAAAAAUCUGGAAGUAAGAGUAAUGGAGACUCUCAACAUGUAGAUGACAUGCGUUGAAAAGUGUGUUUGAAAACUUGAAUCCAAAGAUCUGAUUCAAAAAGGAUAAUCAGGAGUCAGCAUAGAACUUCAUACUUCGCAAGAUAAACUCAGCUGAUCUUUAUAUUCUUAAUAUUGCCUGAUGGAAGGUUUGGUAAACUGGAUGGCAGGAGAAAUGGCUGUAGUACAGACGUUCCUGUAUAUUGAGUGAGAAGAUCCCAUGUCUCACAGCAUUCCCAACCAGUGAUCCAAGAUGCUAAAUGCCACCCACCACCCUUACCCCAGGAGGAGCUCUGAGCCUUAACUCCUUUGGAAGGAGAUAUGUUAGAGGUGCUACUGGUGCGCUGUACUUGGACUUGGAUGGCUUCACGGGACGAUGUUGAGCUGAUGUGCGGAGGCCAGAGGCAGAGCAUGGCACAGCCCAGUCCCCUUCUGUCUGUGUCCUUCAUGUGCUGGGCCUGACACAACAGAACGUAAGGCCUGAUGGUAAAGCCUGAUGAAAGGUGGGCUGCCUGAAGCCUACAGCCUGAGGCUGCAUACCAAAUCUGGCACAUGAACCUUUUCUUGGAAUUCUUCAGUGAGGCAGAGCUUCAGACCUAGUGGAAGGAAGAUGUUCUGAGACAGCAGAGCUCCCUUUUGGAGUAGAUAGGAAUGUUCCUAUAACAAGAAGCUUGAAUGACAAAGCUCAAGCAAGACUGACUGCAUCUCUGGAAAGAUAGGAGUUUUUUCUGGGCCCAGUCAACCUGCUUGCUUCUGGCAUUCUGCAACACCACAUGCUUUCCAAAAGAGGAUUGCAUCCAUUUGGUAUUUCAGAGCUCAUAAGCUGCAUUUUAAAUGUUGGUGAGAACUGUGGCCUGAACUGCAGAUCAAAGAAGAGCAGCACUUUAGUUAAUCUGGCAUAAAAAUCUACUUUAGCCUAAAUAGACAAGAGGAAAAAGAAAUUGAGGCCCAGACUCCACAGCAACUGUGAGAGAUGCAAUUUUAAGAAAAUUAAGAUCACCCACAAUGCAUUAAAGGACUUGGCAAUGAGAUCUAC
rnacentral:lncRNA from 7 species